AGUGGAGGCAGGAUGUUCGUUUACAUGCAUUUGCAGACGCUUCGGCUUUUACGAUUUGUUGAGCGAUGCUGCCGCUGCUGCCACUUAAAAUUCUACAGUUGCUCAUGGUCGAACAAUGAUAAAAUUUUUGUUUUGGGGUUUAAGUAGCGUUACGAUUCUAAGAUAAUUUUAGUACUUAUUAGAACGUCUACUGUAACGGUCGAUCAUACGGAAACGCGUAUCAAACUCUUAAGUUGAAUUUCAAUUUUUCUACUCUCACACAUUUGAACAGACACAUAAAGGCAAAUGCAUAUUUCAAAUAAAAGAAAAUACAUUGCUAAGCAGUACCAAGUAAUCAAGUGAAAUUCGUUAAGGAAAUGUUUUUCAUAUUAUUUUUUUAACGUCCGGAAAUUGAAAGUAUUUCGAAAAACUCAACAAUUUUGAUGAAAGUAUUUUUGUUGUUUUUUUUUUUUGUUUUUCUUUACAUCUAAAGUGUUAUUUAAAAUUAAAUGUGCAUUUAAUACGCACAAUGAGUCCAGUAAACAUAAGCAACAGACCUAAAGUCCUUACAUGCGUACGUACGGGCAUACACAUCGGCACAUAAAAAAUUAUAAUAAAUUUCUUCAUUACAUGCGUACAGAUUAUGGAAAGUACAAGCAAAGUGGUUUAAGGAAAUGGAUAAAAUUUUAAUAAUUACUCCAGCAAUAACAGCAACAACAUUAAGAGCAACAACAUAAAUAGUAGUGCCAGCAACAUACAGCUGCCAGUAUUACACAUUUUUUAGAAUAAUAAACUAUUUUAAACAAUAUCCACAAUUUCGAACUAACCAGCUAUACUACAAAUAAUUUGUCGUUGGCUAUGUUAACAUAGAAAAUUUCUGUGCAACAUGUCUCUCCUAUUGCUCAAUUCAAAUGUUUAACGUUUACAAACAAAAGGAAAAAACCAAAAACAAAAAAAAAAAAAGAUGAAAAAAUAAUACUACA